GACAGAGGUGCCGAGCGUUAGGCGGAAUCACUGGGCUUAAAGCGUGUGUAGGCGGGCCGUUAAGUGUCUUGUGAAAUCCCCCCGGCUCAACCGGGGAAUUGCUGGGCAUACUGGCGGUCUUGAGCGAUCUAGGGGCAGAUGGAACAAGUGGUGGAGCGGUGAAAUGCGUAGAUAUCACUUGGAACGCCAAAGGUGAAGACAGUCUGCUGGGGAUCUGCUGACGCUGAGACACGAAAAGCCAGGGGAGCGAACGGG
rnacentral:rRNA from 1 species